rnacentral:rRNA from 1 species
UAGGGAAUCUUCCACAAUGGAACGAAAGUCUGAUGGAGCAACGCCGCGUGAGUGAAGAAGGGUUUCGGCUCGUAAAGCUCUGUUGGUAGUGAAAGAAAGAUAGAGGUAGUAACUGGCCUUUAUUUGACGGUAAUUACUUAGAAAGUCACGGCUAACUACGUGCC